GCCUAAAGCGUCCGUAGCCGGCUAUGUUAGUUUUCGGUUAAAUCCAUGUGCUCAACACAUGGGCCGUCGAGAAUACUGCAUAGCUAGGGAGUGGGAGAGGUAGACGGUACUCUGGAGGAAGUGGUAAAAUGCUUUGAUCUCUAGAUGACCACCAGUGGCGAAGGCGGUCUACCAGAACACGUCCGACGGUGAGGGAUGAAAGCUGGGGGAGCAAACCGGAUUAGAUACCCGGGUAGUCCCAGCUGUAAACUAUGCAAACUCAGUGAUGCAUUGGCUUGUGGCCAGUGCAGUGCCGCAGAGAAGUCGUUAAGUUUGCCGCCUGGGAAGUACGUACGCAAGUAUGAAACUUAAAGGAAUUGGCGGGGGAGCACCACAAGGGGUGAAGCCUGCGGUUCAAUUGGAGUCAACGCCAGAAAUCUUACCCGGGGAGACAGCAGAAUGAAGGUCAAGCUGAAGACUUUACCAGACAAGCUGAGAAGUGGUGCAUGGCCGUCGCCAGCUCGUGCCGUGAGAUGUCCUGUUAAGUCAGGUAACGAGCGAGAUCCCUGCCUCUAGUUGCCACCAUUACUCUCAGGAGUAGUGGGGCGAAUUAGCGGGACUGCCGCAGUUAAUGCGGAGGAAGGAGGGGGCCACGGCAGGUCAGUAUGCCCCGAA
rnacentral:rRNA from 1 species